rnacentral:pre_miRNA from 1 species
AACCUACUCCCUCCGUUCGGAAUUACUUGUCGCAGAAAUGGAUGUAUCUAGAUGUAUUUUAGUUCUACAUACAUCCAUUUUCGAGACAAGUAAUUCCGAACGGAGGAGUACCAU